GACGAAGGUGGCAAGCGUUGUUCGGAUUCACUGGGCAUAAAGGGCGCGUAGGCGGUUCCGUAGGUGGCGUGUGAAAUCCCCCGGCUCAACCGGGGAAGUGCGCGCCAAACCACGGUUCUUGAGGGCGGUAGGGGGGACUGGAACUCUCGGUGGAGCGGUGAAAUGCGUAGAUAUCGAGAGGAACACCGGCGGCGAAGGCGAGUCCCUGGUCCGCAUCUGACGCUGAGGCGCGAAAGCGUGGGUAGCAAACAGG
rnacentral:rRNA from 1 species